rnacentral:rRNA from 1 species
UACGUAGGGUGCAAGCGUUGUCCGGAAUUAUUGGGCGUAAAGAGCUCGUAGGCGGUCUGUCGCGUCGGCUGUGAAAUCCCGGAGCUCAACUCCAGGUCUGCAGUCGAUACGGGCAAGCUGGAGUACUGCAGGGGAGACUGGAAUUCCUGGUGUAGCGGUGAAAUGCGCAGAUAUCAGGAGGAACACCGGUGGCGAAGGCGGGUCUCUGGGCAGUAACUGACGCUGAGGAGCGAAAGCGUGGGGAGCGAACAGG